UGGGGAAUUUUGGACAAUGGGCGAAAGCCUGAUCCAGCCAUGCCGCGUGAGUGAAGAAGGCCUUCGGGUUGUAAAGCUCUUUUAGUCGGAAAGAAAGAGUUGCAAUGAAUAAUUGUGAUUUAUGACGGUACCGACAGAAAAAGCACCGGCUAACUACGUGCCAGCAGCCGCGGUAAUACGUAGGGUGCGAGCGUUAAUCGGAAUUACUGGGCGUAAAGGGUGCGCAGGCGGUCUUGCAAGUCAGAUGUGAAAGCCCCGGGCUUAACCCGGGAAUUGCGUUUGAAACUACAAGGCUAGAGUUCAGCAGAGGGGAGUGGAAUUCCAUUUGUAGCAGUGAAAUGCGUAGAGAUGUGGAAGAACACCGAUUGCGAAGGCAGCUCCCUGGGUUGACACUGACGCUCAUGCACGAAAGCGUGGGGAGCAAACA
rnacentral:rRNA from 1 species